rnacentral:rRNA from 1 species
CCUACGGGCGGCAGCAGUGGGGAAUAUUGGACAAUGGGGGGAACCCUGAUCCAGCCAUGCCGCGUGUGUGAAGAAGGCCCUCGGGUUGUAAAGCACUUUCAGUGAGGAAGAACGCCUGGUGGUUAAUACCCAUCAGGAAAGACAUCACUCACAGAAGAAGCACCGGCUAACUCCGUGCCAGCAGCCGCGGUAAUACGGAGGGUGCGAGCGUUAAUCGGAAUUACUGGGCGUAAAGCGCGCGUAGGUGGCUUGAUAAGCCGGUUGUGAAAGCCCCGGGCUCAACCUGGGAACGGCAUCCGGAACUGUCAAGCUAGAGUGCAGGAGAGGAAGGUAGAAUUCCCGGUGUAGCGGUGAAAUGCGUAGAGAUCGGGAGGAAUUCCAGUGGCGAAGGCGGCCUUCUGGACUGACACUGACACUGAGGUGCGAAAGCGUGGGUAGCAAACAGGAUUAGAUACCCGGGUAGUC